rnacentral:rRNA from 1 species
GAUGAUGCCCAGCUUGCUGGGUGGAUUAGUGGCGAACGGGUGAGUAACACGUGAGUAACCUGCCCCUGACUCUGGGAUAAGCGUUGGAAACGACGUCUAAUACUGGAUAUGAUCACUGGCCGCAUGGUCUGGUGGUGGAAAGAUUUUUUGGUUGGGGAUGGACUCGCGGCCUAUCAGCUUGUUGGUGAGGUAAUGGCUCACCAAGGCGACGACGGGUAGCCGGCCUGAGAGGGUGACCGGCCACACUGGGACUGAGACACGGCCCAGACUCCUACGGGAGGCAGCAGUGGGGAAUAUUGCACAAUGGGCGAAAGCCUGAUGC